UUGAACGAUGAUGACGUAGCAUCCGGUAUGAAUGUGUCAAAUAAAUGACGUCGAUCCAUUCCUUGAUCCAGAAGCAUCAGCGUCACCUAAUGGGAGGAAUUUACCCACAUAGAAUUAAAAUACAGUGUCCUGCAUUGAAAAAAUUAGAGUGUUCAAAGCAGGCUCUCGAGCCUGGAAAAUGGUGCAUGGAAUAAUGAAAGAGGACAUCGGUUCUAUUUUGUUGGUUUUCGGAGCGCGAGGUCAUGAUUAAGAGGCACAGACGGGGGCAUUCGAACUGUGCCGUUAGAGGUGAAAUUCUUCGAUCGGCGCAAGACGAAUGACAGCGAAGGCAUUCGCCAAGAAUGUUUUCUUUAA
rnacentral:ncRNA from 1 species